UCCACCUUCAAUACCCUCUUCGUCGCCGGCCCCAGCCCCCUGUCGCUCCACCCGCAGCUUCUCCUCCGCCUCCUCUCCGCCCUCUCCUCCACCGCCGCCUACUUCCCUUCCGCGCUCCACCUCCUUCGGCUUGUGUCCUCCCGCCUCCCCCUCCCAGCGCCGCUCGUCCUCGCCUCCCACAACCUGCUCAUUGAGGCCGCCGCCCGCUCCGGCCACCUCGCCGUGUCGCUCUCGCUCUUCCACCGCCUGCGAUCCCUCCACGUGUCGCCAGACGCCCACACCUACCGCAUGCUUACCCAGUCGCUCUGCCGCCGUGGUCAGGUCCGCACUGCCACUACCCUGCUCGACGAAAUGCUGCACAGGGGCAUCCCUGCCGAUCCUCUGGCGUACACCACCGUGCUCAACGCCCUCUGCCGCAAGAAGCAGCUCCGUGAGGCCUACCGAUUGCUGUGCCUCAUGCGAGGCCGCGGGGUCUCGCCUGACAUUGUGCACUACAACACCGUCAUCGUCGGAAUGUGCCGUGAGGGGCGGCCACUGGAUGCCUGCAAGGUGAUUGGUGAUAUGACGGAUAGUGGCUGCAUACCGAAUGCAGCGUCGUAUGCAGCGGUGGUGAAUGGGUUGUGCGUGAGUGGGUUGUUUGCCAAGGCAGAGACAUACUUGGAAGAUAUGGUGGGUAAAGGGAUUGUACCACAUUUUUCGGUGUUCCAUUCGGUGAUCAAGGGGUGUUGCACAGUGGGAAAGGUAGAGGAGGCUGCUAGGAUGAUGAGUCGGAUGCUUGAUCUUGGGAUGCCUCCACAUGUUGAGACAUGGAGUUCAGUGAUCAGCAGUAUUUGUAAUGACGAGGACUAUGUUGAGGUGAUUUUGUUGCAAAUGCUGAAAGGAAGGGGGCGCUGCUCGAAGACGAUCUCGAGGAGUACCUUGUGA
rnacentral:rRNA from 1 species